ACCUUACCAGCUCUUGACAUCUUCUGACAACUCUAGAGAUAGAGCGUUCCCUUCGGGGACAGAAUGACAGGUGGUGCAUGGUUGUCGUCAGCUCGUGUCGUGAGAUGUUGGGUUAAGUCCCGUAACGAGCGCAACCCUUGUUGUUAGUUGCCAGCAUUAAGUUGGGCACUUUAACGAGACUGCCGGUGAUAAACCGGAGGAAGGCGGGGAUGACGUCAAAUCAUCAUGCCCCUUAUGAGCUGGGCUACACACGUGCUACAAUGGAUGGUACAACGAGCAGCGAUCCCGCAAGGGCUAGCUAAUCUUUCAAAGCCAUUCUCAGUUCGGAUUGCACUCUGCAACUCGAGUGCAUGAAGUCGGAAUCGCUAGUAAUCGCGAAUCAGAAUGUCGCGGUGAAUCCGUUCCCGGGUCUUGUACACACCGCCCGUCACACCACGAGAGUUUGAAACACCCGAAGUCGGCCGGCCAACCCUAUGGG
rnacentral:rRNA from 1 species